AGGGCUGGGAAUUUCGGGAUCGGGUAAUCGGGUACCCGAUACCUGACCCGAAAAAAUUGGGUAUCGGGUACCCUAUACCCGAAAAAUUCGGGAUCGGGGUCGGGGUCGGGUAUUUAGGGUGUGAAAAAAUCGGGUAUCGGGUAUACCCGAAUUACCCGAUUUUUUAAUUAAUAUAUUUUAAAUUACUCUCAAUCCCAGCCCACUGCCGUUCGGCCCGUUCCCAUUUCAAAG
rnacentral:lncRNA from 1 species